AUCCAGCUAGUGACGAGUCCCAAAUAGGAUGAAACGCGCGUCAAACUGGAU
rfam:Schistosoma rodhaini strain Burundi genome assembly, scaffold: SROB_scaffold0000121